AUGAUUAGGAGACUUUGCAUUUACUCCAACUCCGCUGUGCCCACAGGCUGGUGCUCAAAAUCAUACCCCCUCGGGCCUUGCGUCAUUCCCUUUUCUGGAGGUGGUUCGAACAUCGGGUACCUAACUGACACUACAGACGAACCCAGAACUGGGAGGACGAUCCCAGUAAUCAUCGGGAGAGGGAUAUAUGAGAAUGAUAGCAUGCUGGUCUCUAAAAAGAGACAAAGUCAGCAACAGAUUUGGCCUUCAUCUGUCCUACGUGAUAUUCCCAAGUAUGAUAACUGUGGUCCUAGAUCAAGUGCCAGAGUGAGGUCGAGUCGAUUGGAAACUCGUUCUCUUUCCAACUUGCAUUCCAUCCCUAGGCAUACGGCCGAGAAGGUGCUACCAACGCCCCUCCUGUCCCUGCUACUAUUCAAUGCUAGGUCUAUUGUCAACAAAACUGCUACCCUCUCUGACUUUAUUCUCAAUCAAGCAGCGGACCUGGUUUGUAUUACAGAGACCUGGAUCCGUGAGGGUGAUAACAUUCCCUCACAUGAACUGACACCUCCAGGCUUCCAGAUAUUUCAACAGCCACGGAGUGGGGGUCAGGGUGGAGGGGUAGCAAUACUCUCCCGUGAUUAUUUUACCAUCAAAGCUAUUCCAACUCCAAAGAUAGCUGGUAUUGAGUGUGUUGGUGUGGUCCUGGUUAGCAGGGAAUCCCUAGCCAUUCUUGUAGUUUACCGCACGCCUGGGUCUCCGGGAGAGAGUCUGCUGAAUUUAUUAGAUCUCGUGGCGGACUGGGUCCUGAAGUUCCCCCGACUUAUUGUUCUGGGUGACUUUAAUGUACAUGUCGAAGCACUGCCAUCUUCAUCUGUGACUAAGGACCUAGUACCAACCUUUGAAGCUCUGGGGCUCUCACUACUCAAGACUCGCCCUACUCAUCGGGCCGGCCACACUUUGGACCUGAUUUUUAAUAUCGGAGUACAAACAUCUGUAUCUGCGGUAAUUGAUGUUCCCUGGUCUGAUCACGCUGUCCUGAAGGCCCGGAUUGAGAUUCCAUCUCCUCCUCCCCAUCCUGCCACACCAAUCUUUGCUCGGUCUAGGAGACUCAUGGAACCUGCUAGGUUCUUGAAUGCCCUUAAGGGCCUGGGAACUGCGUGCGUCACUCUCAAUGAGCUAGUCAACACCUGGAAUGUCAGUUUGUUGGCUGCCUUGGAUGAGAUUGCCCCCAGACGCCUCCUUCACCCUCGCCGGAAUCGCUCCCCCUGGUACACUAAUGAGCUGCGGAUGAUGAAGCAAGCACGAAAGCGGCUGGAACAUCGGUGGCGACGGAAACCCGACGAGGUGGCACUGUCCGCUUUCAAGGCUUUUCGCAGGUCCUACAAAUCAGCCGCCAAGGAUGCUAAAAAAUCUUACAAUUCCUCCUUAAUAGCCUCUGCUAGAUCGCGCCCAGCUCAAGUAUUCAAAAUCGUUCGUGCUUUGACCAGUCCGGCUCCCUUAGUCCAAAACCCAGCAACCACGGCUCUUACAGCAGAGGCAUUCCAGAAGUUUUUCACUGAUAAAAUCACCGUGCUUCGGCAGGAACUGCUCCCUACAGUUGAUACCUUAAGUGAGCUUGAGACUUUGUGGCCGCUUAGUGGGCCUAUCUUUGACCGAUUUACUCCGCUUGACAAGGAAGAUGUCGCUAGAAUCCUAGCUGCUGCAAAACCAACCACCUUGAUCCGUGUCCCUCCUGGCUGGUGA
ensembl:lncRNA